AAGUCGUAACAAGGUCUCCGUAGGUGAACCUGCGGAGGGAUCAUUACUGAAUGGCCUUCAACCUUGCAAACCUGUGGAAGCAAGAUGUGCUUCGGCGCUUCGGCGCCGCUUUUAUGCUUUAACCAGUCUUUGUGUCUGAAUCAAACAUGAGAAAUAAAACUUUCAACAAAGGAUCUCUUGGCUCUC
rnacentral:misc_RNA from 1 species